rnacentral:tRNA from 1 species
GCAUUAAUGGGGUAGUGGUAACCUGGGUCGUUGCCACCAAACGCGGAUUCGACCCGCCGGGGGUUCGAUUCCCCCUUAAUGCA